rnacentral:tRNA from 1 species
GUUUCUGUAGUGUAGUGGUUAUCACGUUUGCCUAACACGCUAAAGGUCCUUGGUCCGAAAACCGAGCAGAAACA